GUCGACGAUUACUCCUACGGGAGGCAGCAGUGGGGAAUAUUGGACAAUGGGCGAAAGCCUGAUCCAGCCAUGCCGCGUGUGUGAAGAAGGUCUUCGGAUUGUAAAGCACUUUAAGUUGGGAGGAAGGGCAUUAACCUAAUACGUUAGUGUUUUGACGUUACCGACAGAAUAAGCACCGGCUAACUCCGUGCCAGCAGCCGCGGUAAUAAUCUCUAGA
rnacentral:rRNA from 1 species